rnacentral:rRNA from 1 species
CACGUAGGGGACGAGCGUUGUCCGGAUUCAUUGGGCGUAAAGGGUGUGUAGGUGGCGCGCUAAGUCGGGUGUGAAAUUUCGGAGCUUAACUCCGAAACUGCAUUCGAUACUGGCGUGCUUGAGGACUGGAGAGGAGACUGGAAUUCAUGGUGUAGCAGUGAAAUGCGUAGAGAUCAUGAGGAAGACCAGUGGCGAAGGCGGGUCUCUGGACAGUUCCUGACACUGAGACACGAAGGCCGGGGGAGCAAACGGG